UCCCGCCAGAUGCUAGUUCACGAUUAUCAUAAGACCACUUCAGUCCACAAACCUAGAGACAAUAGUCAACAGACUUCAAAGUAAGAAAUUGACAACUCGAGCUUAGCAUGAAUGAAUACAAGCAUGAUAGGCAUGAGAUGAUGGAUUCAUGACAAAACAAGAAUCUAACCUCUGACUUAUGACCAGAGAGUUUACUAGCAAAAUCAUCCGGAGCACGGAUAUCUCUUUGAAGAAUGCUCUUGUCACGACUCCC